rnacentral:RNase_P_RNA from 1 species
UGGGUCGGCCAGGCGGUCGCGUGCCGCGUGAGCGGUCCGAGGAACGUCCGGGCUCCACAGAGCAGGACGGUGGGUAACGCCCACCCGGGGUAACCCGCGAGAAAGUGCCACAGAAAGCAAACCGCCCGCAAGGGUAAGGGUGAAAGGGUGCGGUAAGAGCGCACCGGUCGGCUGGUGACAGUCGUCGCACGGUAAACCUCGUCCGGAGCAAGGCCAACAGGGAAUGAUGACGCUGCUCGUCGAGUUCCCGGGUGUGCUGCUAGAGCGGCGCGGUAACGCGUCGCCGAGAAAGAUGGCCGCCACGGAUGCACAUCCGUACAGAACCCGGCGUAUCGGCCGACCCGCUCG